AUGCGGUGGUGCCGGCGGCUGGCUGAUAUGCUGGUACUCCAGGGUCUGCCUGGUGGUGCUGGUGGCCCAGGCACGAGAGUUGGAUCCCUUCGCACUAAUCUGGGUGAAAACUUGCCUUCGGCUCCUGCUAAGGCCGGCGGUGGCGGCGCUAUCUGCGUCGUUCCCUUCUUGAAGGCAUCGCUGUGGAGAAGUUCAAGGCCACUCUCUGCUACCUCCGGGGGAAACCCCAGAUCGGAUGAUCGGAUGACGGCGGCGCUCUGGUGUCGUUCCUCCCUUGGGGGCGUCAUUCUUGGAGGUACACACGUGAUCGAGGGACCAGAGGACGGAUUCUUUGGUGGAGCGGGGCUUCAUCCUACACACUGGUGGCGACGGAUCUUGACGGCGUGGCGCGGUGCAGAUUCGGUUCGCUGUGGGAGGAUGGACUCGCGCAGGAGGACGACACUGUCGGGCGUCGUGGUGGCGUCGAUGGCAGAGAGACCUGGCAUGGUUCAUGCAACAGUACCACUCUGA
rnacentral:rRNA from 1 species